rnacentral:rRNA from 1 species
AAUGAACGCUGGCGGUAGGCCUAACACAUGCAAGUCGAACGGCAGCACAGUAAGAGCUUGCUCUUACGGGUGGCGAGUGGCGGACGGGUGAGGAAUACAUCGGAAUCUACUUUUUCGUGGGGGAUAACGUAGGGAAACUUACGCUAAUACCGCAUACGACCUACGUGUGAAAGCAGGGGAUCUUCGGACCUUGCGCGAUUGAAUGAGCCGAUGUCGGAUUAGCUAGUUGGCGGGGUAAAGGCCCACCAAGGCGACGAUCCGUAGCUGGUCUGAGAGGAUGAUCAGCCACACUGGAACUGAGACACGGUCCAGACUCCUACGGGAGGCAGCAGUGGGGAAUAUUGGACAAUGGGCGCAAGCCUGAUCCAGCCAUACCGCGUGGGUGAAGAAGGCCUUCGGGUUGUAAAGCCCUUUUGUUGGGAAAGAAAAGCAGCAGGUUAAUACCCCGCUGUUCUGACGGUACCCAAAGAAUAAGCACCGGCUAACUUCGUG